rnacentral:rRNA from 1 species
CCUACGGGAGGCAGCAGUGGGGAAUCUUGCGCAAUGGGCGAAAGCCUGACGCAGCCAUGCCGCGUGAAUGAUGAAGGUCUUAGGAUUGUAAAAUUCUUUCACCGGGGACGAUAAUGACGGUACCCGGAGAAGAAGCCCCGGCUAACUUCGUGCCAGCAGCCGCGGUAAUACGAAGGGGGCUAGCGUUGCUCGGAAUUACUGGGCGUAAAGGGAGCGUAGGCGGAUAGUUUAGUCAGAGGUGAAAGCCCAGGGCUCAACCUUGGAAUUGCCUUUGAUACUGGCUAUCUUGAGUGUGGGAGAGGUAUGUGGAACUCCGAGUGUAGAGGUGAAAUUCGUAGAUAUUCGGAAGAACACCAGUGGCGAAGGCGACAUACUGGCCCAUUACUGACGCUGAGGCUCGAAAGCGUGGGGAGCAAACAGGAUUAGAUACCCUGGUAGUCCACGCUGUAAACGAUGAGUGCUAGUUGUCGGCAUGCAUGCAUGUCGGUGACGCAGCUAACGCAUUAAGCACUCCGCCUGGGGAGUACGGUCGCAAGAUUAAAACUCAAAAGGAAUUGACGG